AGCAUUAGCAAUUUUUUAUUUUCCUUUUUUGUUGCAUAGGAAAUGCAGUACUUGCUUCCAGUAAUUGUAUUGUAAUGUGAGACGGUGGUAGCACUAAUGGUUGAAUACAAGAGUUAAACUAAUCCACACCAGCUCAAAAACCUGUGGAGAUUUAGUUGAAUAAGAAUGGACGCCCACAGUGAUUCUCAACCAAUUACAAAUUUUCACAGAACACAGUCAAACUAAAAGGGUAACUAUGAGAGUCAAUACAAGUAUACUAGAGGCACAGGGGGCCCGGCUCAUAAAAAACAAAUGUCAAACUAACUUAUUAACACGGGGUGUUCAGUUUCACAACAGAUCUCUUAUC
rnacentral:lncRNA from 1 species